GACGAACGCUGGCGGCGUGCUUAACACAUGCAAGUCGAACGGAAAGACCCUGCUUUUGUGGGGUGCUCGAGUGGCGAACGGGUGAGUAACACGUGAGUAACCUGCCCUUGACUUUGGGAUAACUUCAGGAAACUGGGGCUAAUACAGGAUAGGAGCUCCUGCUGCAUGGUGGGGGUUGGAAAGUUUCGGCGGUUGGGGAUGGACUCGCGGCUUAUCAGCUUGUUGGUGGGGUAGUGGCUUACCAAGGCUUUGACGGGUAGCCGGCCUGAGAGGGUGACCGGCCACAUGGGGACUGAGAUACGGCCCAGACUCCUACGGGAGGCAGCAGUGGGGAAUAUUGCACAAUGGGCGGAAGCCUGAUGCAGCAACGCCGCGUGCGGGAUGACGGCCUUCGGGGUGUAAACCGCUUUCGCCUGUGACGAAGCGUGAGUGACGGUAAUGGGUAAAGAAGCACCGGCUAACUACGUG
rnacentral:rRNA from 1 species